CCUGUCAAUAUGCAUACCAUAUGUUGAGAGAGUCACAGAGGUGACUGUUCGGACAUAUGUUUUUUUGCUCAUAAACGGGUAAUUAAAUCUGUUCUGUCAGGUAAUGUAAAGGUAAUUGGGGGAAGAAAAAAACCUGUAUAGUAGGUUAGAGCAGUGGUUCCUCCCUUCUAGCGUCAGAGGGAGGCCGCUCCGCCUCGCAGCGCCACCUAGUGGCUGAGAGCCGAUCGACAGGGGAUUAGCACAGUAAGGCAGUAAAGAGUCUAGGGCCCAGAUCCCUGGCUCCGCAGACAGCAGUCAGGCUCAAACCCUCUGGCUGGGGCACAGCAAAAGCAGUCUGUGGCCCAGAUGCCUGGCUGGGCGGACAGCAAGCAAACGUAGGCUUUCCAGCCGAAGGUGGGUAGGCUGCCACCGCAGGGGUGGUGUUGGCAGUAGGGGGUCUAGGCCCACCCUACUCCACCGGCUCCCAGCCCAGGGCCCUAAGAGCGGCAGGGAAUCCCGCCACUGGAUCAGCAGGGAUCCUGCCGAAACACGAUGCCCAUGGUUUCAGCAACACAAUUGGAUUAAUGUCUGGUGUCCCUGGGCUACGAUAUACCCCUACCUGUUUGUAGGGCUUCAUCGCUCACAGACCUUCAGGCUCUUCAGGGUUCUUGAUAGCUGGUAGUUCCAGCAGCUCCUCCAGGUAUUUCUCCAGAGGCAGGAGUUGGUACAACUUGGUACAGGGGCCAGCAGCAUCUGACUCCUUCCCUAGCUCUCCCUCAACUGAGCUGGAGGCCCCGCAUCUUAUACUUCCUGUUCUGCCCCUCUGCUUCUGGCCCAGUGGGAGGGGAGUGGUUCCUCCCUGUCAGCAUCAGAGGGAGGCCACUCCGCCUUGCUACAAGUAGUAGGGCUACAGUUAAUCUGGGUUUAGCUUUUAAAGCAUUUUAUUUGUUCCCUUUUCAUAUCACAGCAAGUCCGCACCUUCAAGGUACUUCCCCUCCCUACUGACCUGCUUUUGCUUCCUAUCACAUCACCCCUUGCCCCAUCUGCUCCAUCAUCAAUGUAAGCCUUUACUGCCUGCUUGCCACUCUUCCCACUAAAAUUCCAAUGCUGCCCCUUAUGCAUGGAAUGCCCUUCCCUGAACUGAUCCUUUAGAAGGCCUUCAAAUCCUUCCUCCAGAUCCUCAUUUGCUGUGAUGCCUGUAAGAAAUCAGCCAAUCAAGAAGGUUAAGGUGGAGAGCAGUCAUAUAUUUAAAAAAAAAUCAGAUGUAUAUAUUGAUUGUAUCCUUCUCUCUCAUCUUUUAUAUGUAGCUUGUCUUCUUAGAUUAUACACAUUUGAAGGUUUGGACUGCCUCUCUUCAUGUGUUUGUAGAUCAGCUGAUACACUAGGACCACAUCCUGUUUAGGGUGUCUGCACACUACUGGAAUAUAAAUAUUAAAUAAUAAUGAAGAAAGCCAUGCUAGCCUAUCAAAGUAGAAAAUUUUAAAAGCUGCUGCUUUGAUAAGGUUAUAGGCUUAACUCUGCUAUUAAACUAUCAAGGAAGGACUUAUAGCCAUUCAUCACUGCUAGUGCUGGAUUGGAAAUUAUGAGUUUCUGAAGAGGAGAGGUAUGAAUAACUCUGAGGGGUAUCUUCUAAAGCAGAACACACUGGAAUAAUACUCCUUCUGUGUUUAAAUACAAGGAAAAAAUCUUAAAAUGAAAGGAUUUGUUGCUUCUUUUGGACAGGCCUUAUGAUGUUUCAAAGUGUUUUUUCCUUGUUUUCAUAAUUAUGCAGCUGUAGUACUACAGGAAGCACUGCUAACCAUUGGUAGGUUUCAGAAAAAGUGAAUAUGAAGUAUCUGAUCUGAUAGUAGCAUUUUGAUUUCACUGGGAAC